AUUGAACGCUGGCGGCAGGCCUAACACAUGCAAGUCGAGCGGAGCGGCGAACGGGUGAGGAAUGCCUAGGAAUCAGCCUGGUGGUGGGGGAUAAAGUCAGGAAACGGGCGCUAAUACCGCAUGCUAUAAGAUGAGACUAGGUCGGAUUAGCUAGUUGGUGGGGUAAAGGCUUACCAAGUGUAAGAUCAGUAACUGGUCUGAGAGGAUGAUCAGUCACACUGGAACUGAGACACGGUCCAGACUCCUACGUGAGGCAGCAGUGGGGAAUAUUGGACAAUGGGCGAUAGCCGGAUCCAGCCAUGCCGCGUGUGUGAAGAAGGUCUUCGGAUUGUAAAGCUCUUUAAGUUGGGAAGCGUUACCAACAGACUAAGCACCGGCUAACUUCGUGCCAGCAGCCGCGGUAAUUC
rnacentral:rRNA from 1 species